AUUGAACGCUGGCGGCAGGCCUAACACAUGCAAGUCGAACGGUAACAGGGAUCAGCUUGCUGAUUCGCUGACGAGUGGCGGACGUGUGAGUAAUGUCUGGGAAACUGCCUGAUGGAGGGGGAUAACUACUGGAAACGGUAGCUAAUACCGCAUAACGUCGCAAGACCAAAGAGGGGGACCUUCGGGCCUCUUGCCAUCGGAUGUGCCCAGAUGGGAUUAGCUAGUAGGUGGGGUAACGGCUCACCUAGGCGACGAUCCCUAGCUGGUCUGAGAGGAUGACCAGCCACACUGGAACUGAGACACGGUCCAGACUCCUACGGGAGGCAGCAGUGGGGAAUAUUGCACAAUGGGCACAAGCCUGAUGCAGCCAUGCCGCGUGUAUGAAGAAGGCCUUCGGGUUGUAAAGUACUUUCAGCGGGGAGGAAGGGAGUAAAGUUAAUACCUUUGCUCAUUGACGUUACCCGCAGAAGAAGCACCGGCUAACUCCGUG
rnacentral:rRNA from 1 species